rnacentral:lncRNA from 10 species
CCACCAUUCACCCAUUCAUCCUGUGGUCACCUGCAGCUGUUGGGGUGUGGUGGUGCCUGGUUUCCUCUACCCUCAUAAGAAGUCCAAGGAAAAAAAGGCUUAGAAGCAAAAGGGUAAAAGAUCUUUUGGUCCGCAUAUCACUCACCUUUUCUCAUGCCCCAUGUUUGGGCACCAAAAUGAUGCAGAACUUUGCUCCUUCAUUCAGCUAAAAUCAGGUUCUUAUCACAUGACCAGGAAAGAUAAGGCACACGGACACACUGAAGGGUGACUAGAGUGGAAUAUAUUGGGUGAAAAGGAAAAAAGUAAAAAAAAAAAAAAAAAAAACCCUCAGCAAAGUGAGAGGGGAUGCUGACAGCAGGCUUCCAUCUCAUAGAAUGAUUUACAGGCCACCACACAGGAGCUGAUGAGGCCAGGCUUCUCACUCCCUGUACAAGGCACGAACUUCCCAUGGCUUCACCCCAUUCUUCCAGUGCACAGGGUCCAUAAAACUACAGCCUCCCCUUGUCUGGGCUACCUCAACAAUGAGGACUACCACAUCUGCGCCAACCCUCCUGAUCCCUGAACCAGUGCACCUGUUCCAUGGGGCAAAAUGGAAAAGGCCCUUUCUCUUAUUUUAGCUUCUUGCUUUUACUAUCAAGGAAACAGCACAGGAAGGAAAAUUCCAAGAGGAGACUAACAGUUUCCCUGAUUUGAGGAAAUAAAAUUGAAAGUCCAGAGUGAUCAAGUCAUUGAAGCACAAUGAGAAACGUUUGGAGAUGUGCAGAAGUUGUCCUUGGAACAUUAAAUGAGUGCAUAUCUGCACAUACCUGAGGGAAAACCACUCCUGAUUUGGUAUUAAACUACCCAAAAGGAUUAGUAAUAGCUGUGUUCAUUGCUGAUGUAGAGUUAGAUAUAGUGCCUUUUUCUAUAAGUCAGACUGGAAAAGCUCUACAUUCAUAGGGUGUUUUCUCAGCAGUGAGAAACAAUAAGCCCUAGACUCAGGACUAUUCCAUUAGUAUCCAUAAAACCUUAAAAACCAAGACUCGGCUUUCAAUUUUGCUCCAGGUAACCUUACUACAUCACAGUUGAAAGCUCAAGAAUAGAGAAAUAAAAAAUGUCUACCAGGCAACAAAGCAAAAUUCAUGAUAUCUACCAUCCCAUCAAAAGUUCUAAAAAGCAAAAAACUGUGACUUACAAUACGGCAAUAAACUAAUCAAGUGAAACUGACAUAGACUUGGCAUAAAUGUUAGAUUUACCAGACAAGGAUACAAAGAGUUAUUAAAACUGAUUUUCAUAUGUUCAAUUAAAACAUGACAUGGAAGAGAAAGAGAGGUGCAGAGAUGGCAAUGGCGUCAAUGUUUCCCUCCGUUUUAAGCAAAAGUGCCGAAGCAAGAGUCUAGACCUGGGGCACAGGAGGGUGCCUUAUCAUGUAGCUUUUAUCUGCCCCAAUGCUGCCCUUCACCAGCCAUUAACUUCCCAGCACUGUGCUCAUGGCAGCCUGCAGUUGCAGUCCCCGCCCUUUCAUCACAGUAAAUAGAAACCAGCAGCGUGAUAUAAGCAAGGUGGCAGACUGCAAGGUUCUAGGCCUCAACCACCCCCACAUCCCCAAUAAAAACAAUGAGUUAACAACUGUUUGUGCACCAAAGUAGCUCUGGGAGUGCUCCAGAGUGCAAUUAAAAAGCUGCAGCAACCCAGGAAAAUAAGGAACUGAGAACAGCCACUUAGAAAAGUGUAGAAGAGAUUUUACCCACAUUACCCCGUCUGCCAGACUGACACAGCUCAAUGCCAAAGAGAAUCCCCUCAGCCAUGACUUCCUCCAUGGGAGAAAACGAGAGCAGAAAACCCUCAGCAGCUCUUGCAACCACUGUAGACCCACACAGCCACUGCGGCAGAGCAUCCCAUAAUUUUGGCCACUGCAAACCCUAGCUAGUAGAUCUGCACAGAGACCAUCUAACUGCACUCCCCUGGAACUGAAGCCACUGCACUUCCCAGCCCUGGGGCAGCCACACAUCACUCAGACCACGAGCCACCAUGCACCCAUUGGACCCCAUCACUGCCAUAAGCCCUACCAGCCUGGUCCUCUCAUGUCCAACUAUUUUUGAAGGUUUUUCCCCACCAAAGCCAGCCUGUAAAGUCUAGAGGAAGGGACUUUUUUCUUCAAAUGCACAGAAACAAAUGGAUGACUACAAUAAGGAAAAACAGGGAAACAAGACACCACAAAAAGAGCACAGUAAAUUUCCAGUAGCCAACCACAGAGAAAUAGAAAUCUAUGAAUUACACUCAGAAAAUUAUUUUAAAGAAGCUUAGCAAAUUAUUAGAGUGUACAAACACCUCAGUGAAAUUAGGGAAAACAAUACAUAAAGAAGAUGAGAAGUUUAACAAAGAGAUAAAAAUCGUAAGAACUAAUAAGAAAUUCUGGAGCUGAAAAAUAUAAUGAAUAAAAUAAAAAAAUAAAAUACAGAGCUUCAACCAGCAAACUCAAAAACAAACUAUUUGAAAUUAUCCAGACAGAGGAGAAGAAGUUAAAAGAAAAAUGUGAAGAAAGCCUUUGGGAUCUAUGAGAUUCCAUCAAGUGAAGCAAUAUACCUAUUAUGGAAAUCCUAGAAGGAGAAGAGAGAAAGAAAGAGAGAUAAAGGUUAUUUUAAAAAAAUGAAAACUUUAAAAAUCUCUAAAAGAAAAUAGACAUCCUGAUUCAAGCAGCCCAAAGCCCUACACAUAGUUUGAUGAUAAAGAGGUCUACACUGAGACACAUUAUAAUCAAAUUGCCAAAACUCAAAGCCAAAGAGUUUUGUAUACAGCAAGACAAAAGUCACUCAUCACAUGCAAAGAAGCCCUCAUAAGACCAUCAGUGGACUUCUCAGCAGAAACCUUUCAGGCCACAAUAGAGAGGAAUCAUGUAUUUGAAGUAGUUAAAUAAAGACCUACCAACAACAAAUAAUAUGCUUGUCAAAACUAUCAUUUAAACAUGAAGAAAAUAAAAUAUUUCCCAGGCAAACAAAAACUAAGAAAUUUCAUCACCACUAGACCUGCCUUAAAAGAAAUGUUUAAGAAAGUAUUUCAACUUGAAAAGAAAA